UACGGAGGGUGCAAGCGUUAUCCGGAUUCACUGGGUUUAAAGGGUGCGUAGGAGGGCAGGUAAGUCAGUGGUGAAAUCUCCAAGCUUAACUUGGAACUGCCGUUGAUACUAUAAAUCUUGAAUGUUGUGGAGGUGAGCGGAAUAUGUCAUGUAGCGGUGAAAUGCUUAGAUAUGACAUAGAACACCAAUUGCGAAGGCAGCUCACUACACAAAUAUUGACACUGAGGCACGAAAAGCGUGGGGAUCAAACAGG
rnacentral:rRNA from 1 species